CAUAGUAUCUAGACUCUUCAAGAUAUGAUUUUAAUUUUCUUGGGUAAUGAUGCCUUAAAUAUUUAGGUUUAUCAAAAUAAAUAUUUUUAAUGUCCACAAUUUUUAAAAUGUGUUACAAAGUAGAAAUGAAAGAUCUGUUUUGCACUGUCUUUGAACAAGUUGCUCAUCCAGAAUCUCGCUGAUGUGUACUACUUUGCUUUGAUGUAAGACUGCUUAAAUGCUCCUCUGUUCCACAGCUUUGAUCUAGGAGGUUGUCUACAUGUGGAGUUAUUCAGGAACAAGGCUCUCUUAUUUUGGAAAAAGUGUAUUCACAUAUGUAGUUAUCUGGAAUAGUAGCAUGACUAGACAAACCUUAAAUGUGUAUUUACUGAUGCCUACUCCCUCAAAUAUUGUUAUUCUGGAGAAUUUCCCCUUAAACUUUUUAAAACUUGUGUAUAUUAGUCACUAAAUUUCAGUUAAUAACAGUACAUUUUAUUCUAUCUACUCAAUGAAGAUCAAAUUCUGCCAAACUGUCUUAAAUCCAUAGAUUAAAAGUAAUCAAGCGAUUAGAUAUUUGAUACAUAGUUAUUAUUCGAAUUGUGGUAGCACUUAUAGUCCCCAAUGACAUGAAGCCACUAUUCUUCUAGGUGAAGUAAAAACACAUAAUGAGAGAGUAAUCACAUUCCAUACAGAAUUUUAGUACUAUAUUACUGUUUGACUCUCCUUUAAUAAUGAAUGAUCUUUCUGUGGAAGUUUACUUUGUCUUGAUAUUUCCAGCAGCAGUUCCAAAUAGAGCAAUAAUAGUAUUCUAUUAUAGCAGGGGAGUGGUCACGAUUUGCUUAGUUAAAAUUAUGUAACAUUUUCCAUUAUAACUGACUUUUCAGUUGUUUCAGUUGGUUGAAAACUUCCUAUGUUCUGGCUGAGCCUAAAGGCUGACUUGUUUUUGUAAAGUUGAGUCAGAAUGUUUCCUCUGUUUUUCUGAGCAUGACCAGAUUGGUGAAAGAAUUGGAAAACGUACCUUUUUACUCAAAGAACUGUUGUGAUAAUUGGACCUACAAAUUUACUCGUUAGCUCAACUGUAAAAAGUGAGUGUAAGUUCAUGAGAUGUCACAAUAACCUGUAACAACAAAUAUUAACGUGAAGAGGUGCAAAAGUGAGACAGACUGAAUUAGUCCAAACAAAAAAGUCUCCUGAUAUGACUCAGGGACUGUGUUAAGAUCAUGUCUGGUAACAAGAGAAGUGUAGAACCAGAAUUGCUGUGUAUAAAACUGAGUCUAAUUGGUGGACAAAAUAAUGAGGGGAUGGGCUAUUCCACCUAUCAUUCCCUUUGGGGGUCCUUAAAGAAAGCUUUUGGGAGAAAAAUUGGUUACUGGAACGACAUUCACCAUCAUGGCUGCCAUCCUCCCACCCUUGGGUCUCCUUGGACUCACGAUUAGGAUGAAGACAGUCCAGAGAGAGAGAUCCUGAGCAGACCAGGCCAGGAAGAAGGAACCAAAUAACAUUGCUACCUCCACUGGCUUAGGCUGAAUCCCAAAUACCAUCUGAGAUGUGAGACUCUUUCUCACCCUCACCCCACUUGUCUUCUUUUUCCUUCCCUAACUGAUUUCUUCUCUUUUACUAUUCUUUUCCCAUCUCUCUAAAAAGAGUCUGGCUUAGUCUGCUAAGACUGUAUUUUACAACACUGCUAUAAGCCAGUGACUAGCAAGAAGCAGCUAAAAGCGAUGCCUUAAAUAGCCUGAUUCUCGUAUGAGUUUGCCAGGCCUGAGAGUCGCUGAUAAGACUGUGCUGUGCUUGUGUUUCUCCAGCAGUAAGGUUGCAAGUGAAAGUCAACACCAGAGAGACAAGCUGCAGCUUCUAUCUUUGAGGUUCUUUUUCUCUCCCCUUGUGUGUGUUCCUUGUUUUGUCGUCUUAGGAAACAGGAUUCGAUUUAACAACAACAGCAAUAACGACAGCUCCAGCCUAUCUCUACUAAAUUCUUAUUUCCCCAAAAGGAGAGUUAUUACUAUCUUUAAUACCACCUAAAAGAUUGUCAAAUAAGGAUUUUUUUUCCUUCUUAAAAAGUGUCCAGCUAAAGGGAACAAGAGAGCAUGUUAAAAUGAAAGUCGUUUUUAAUACUUUACUUUGACUGUUUUCCUACUUUUCUGUAUCGUUAAUAAAAAGUUAGGAAUUUGAAUAGUCUGUUUGCCAUGGUUCUAAGCAGGCUGAGGUCUCUGUAUACCAAAUCACCAGCCUGGUUUAAAACUGUUUAAUGUUGGACAGUGAUUGGGUUAUAUUGACACCUUUAACUGUUUGGGCUCAUAUAUUCCAUCUAAAUUAUUGUAACAGUGCUCAGUCUCUUUAAUUUAACAAAGAGAAGGUCUAUAGGUACCAACACGAGGGGAAGAAAUUUGACAAAGGGCUUUCUGUUCUGGUGGACAAAGAUAUAACAAGAUCUAAUGAUUGGAAAUGAAACUAGACAAACUCUGACUAAAAAAUAUGGUGCACAUUUAUUACAGUAAGAGUAGCCAUUUGAACAAUUUGUAAAUGGUUGUGGUGGAUUUGUAGUUACCGGAAAUCUUCAAAUCAAGACUGUAUUUUUUUCUAAAAUAGAUGCUGUAGUUCAAACAGGAAUUAAUUUAAGGAAGUCCUGUGGUGUGUUUAUAUUGGCCAGUGGGGUGGUGAUGGUGGUCAGCCUUGUUGAUCACAGUGAUUCCUUCUGGCCUUAUAAUCUCUGGGGAAAAAUGGGAGUGUGAAAGGAAUACAUGUUUUGGGCAAUGCUACUGCCUAAACAGAUAAAUUGGAAGCUGAAAUUUGGUAUGAAAUUAGUUUCUACUGAAGAGAAGUCUCAGCCUUAUUUCAGCAGAUACAGACUUUGAUUUCACUAUUUUCUAGAUAAUUGAAACUGGGUUCUGACCACGUGCAGUAACUUUUUGUUAAGUGUGCACUGAAGAAGGUUGCUGGCAUGUGCUUGUGCAUUAAGUUAGAUUCACAAUGUACAGUCCAAUCAAUUUAGGCUCUGAUCCUACAGACACUUAAGCAUGCACUUAACUUUAAGUAUGUGUGCAAAUAUAUGCAGGAUUGGGGCCUUAGAGUCAGGGCUGAAGCAAAAACUUUCAUAUACAGUGUAUGGUAAUUUAGGGGCUGAGAAAGGGUUCCAACUGAUCUUGAAAAGUACACAGUGCAAACAAAAGCUCCCCUGGAUCCUAUAUGGUGCACGAGAUUAUGUGGGAGCUGGAUUGUGGUAAUUUCAGUGCACUGUUUGCAAUUUGUUGGAAACCUGCAAAACUUGAAGUCAUACAGCCUGAAGACUCUAUAGAAAAACUUUUUUUAAUAUUAAAUAUGAUGAUGAAUAGACUUCAUUGGGCCCUGUUGCUGUUGAGCUGGCAUACAGGAAUAAAAUAAAUAAAAAAAAUAUUAUAGAACACUUUAUUAUGAAGCUUCUGUAGAAAAUCUUUUUAAAAACAAAUAUCUUCCCUCUUCUCUCCUAGUAAUUCAAUUCUAAAAACAAGUUGAGACCAUUAAGGCUGCAUGUUUAAGCACUAAACCUUCAUGAAAUACCACAACAAAGGAUGCAUGUGAAACUUUCAUUCUGUUCCAUGUGAGGAUGCAUUACAAUAGUCCUUAAUUACAUAAUUUUUUCUACAACCUUAGCUGCAUGGGUAAAGUAUCUGUAGUAUUGUGUGUGCUAGAGUCCAUGAACAUUUUUAUGAAAAGUACUCAGAACACUAAUUAAGACAAUAUAUUACAGAUUAAGUACAACUGAGAAUAAUAGGGAAAAUGUGCUGCCAUUUAUAGGGUUUUAAAAUGUAAUUACAGCAUUAAGUCAGGCAUCAGUUCAGGAAAACAGUUAAACACAUUAACUCUACGAGGGGUCCUACUGAAGGCCAAUGAGACUAUUUAUUUGCCAAAGUUACCAGUAAGUACUUACUUAUUUGCUAGAUUACUAGAGAACUGGGUCCUGAUCCUGUACACAAAAUGAUAUCAGUGGGAUACUUGUGUGUGUAAAUGUUUGCAGGUUGGGGCCUUAGUUCAUUAAUGUAUCUUACAGUAAGUACAGUGUUACUACAGAGGAGUGAGGUUCUUGAACAGCCUUCUAAUAUUAGUGGGGACAAACAACCUAGCUAGUUUUGAAAUGGAACUUGUUAAGUUUAUGAACAGGAUUACAUGACUGUGUUGCCUGUGUUAAACACCCUUGCCCAUUGAGGUAGAUGUUGGAGUUCACAAAACAAGCCCUUCAGACUUUUUCCUUUUAGUAAAACUAGUGAACACCAGACUUGACAUUCCUAAUAUUUUUAAGGGUAAAGAAAAGAAACAGAUUUGGGGGCCUUCUUUAUACAUCUUAGAAAAACAAAAUUAGAUGCAAGCCCAUUUUAAAAUAAAUCAUAGCAGGAUCACCUUUAACUUUCAUUUUUGUUGCUCUCCACUGGACUCUUUCCAAUUUUUCCAAAUCCUUCUUGUAGUGUGGGGUCCAAAACCGGAUACAGCACUCCAGAUGAGGCCUCACCAAUGCUGAAUAGAGGGGAAUGAUCACAUCCCUCAAUCUGCUGGCAAUGCUCCUACUGAUGUACCCCCUAUAUCCACAGUAGGUUAUCAACCUCACUUGGCAGGUCUUCAGUGGUCAUACAACCAAAAUGAAUCCUUUCUGGGAUAGGCAGUUUUGUUAUACCUUUGCUAUCUGCCCUCACCAGCAUCUUUUACCCUGGCUCUGGGCCCUUUUAAAUUAAGCCCUUUGCUCAGGCUUCCAAAUAAGACUAGUUCCCCCUCUCACUUCUCAUGAUUUACACCACUUUGCCAGUGGGGGAACCCAGGAAUGCCCAUUGUUCCAGGUUCUAACCCAAGGACCCUAUAAACAGCAGCCACAUACUGCAGACUUCAGUUCAUUGCUGCUACUUCCCUGGACCUCUUCUCACCAGGCCUCUUUAUCUUCUCCCUUUACCUUGGGGUUUAAGUUCUCAGGUCUUCUCUCUUCCAGCUUCAGCUUGUCUACCCGGGGGGAUCGCUCUAAGCUACGUGAAUAACAUAGGUGAAGUCAACAUACUUAGAUCAACUUACCGUGGUGUCUUCACCAUGGUGAGUCGACUGCUGCCGCUCCCCCGUCGACUCCUCCUGUGCUUCUUGCAGUGAUGGAGUACAGGAGUCGAUGGGAGAGUGCUUGGGGGUCAAUUUAUCGCAUCUAGACUAGAUGUGAUAAAUUGAUCCCUGCUGGAUCAAUCGCUGCCCGCUGAUCUGACAGGUAGUGUAGACAUACCCUGAGGGCUUGGCUACACUGGAGAGUUGCAGCACUGGUGAUGGGGUUACAGUGCUGCAACUCACUCUGUGUCCACACUUGCAAAGCACAGCCAGUGCUGCAACUCCCUGGCUGCAGCGCUGGCUGUACACCUGGUCUGCUUGGGGUGUAGCGAUUCCAGCGCUGGUGAUGCAGCGCUGCUCAUCAAGUGUGGCCACCAAAAGCGCUGUUAUUGGCCUCCAGGGCAUUAGGGGGUAUCCCAGCAUACCUUUUCAGCCACUCUGCUCAUCGUUUCGCACUCCACUGCCCUGGGCUCAGGUGACCCGCUCUUUAAAUGCCCCGGGAAUUUUAAAAAUCCCCUUCCUGUUUGCUCAGCCAGGUGUGGAGUGCAAUCAAUCAAUCAAUCACUGACCAUGCCUCCAUGCCCCAAACGAGCCCCAGCAUGGAACACUUGUGAGCUGCAGGACCUCAUCAGUGUUUGGGGUGAGGAAGCUGUGCAGUCACAGCUGCGCUCCAGUUGUAGAAAUUACGAUACCUAUGGCCAGAUAUCAAAGUCCAUGUUGCAAAGGGGCCAUGAACGGGACGCAUUGCAGUGCAGGGUUAAAGUAAAGGAGCUGCAGAGCGCCUAUUGCAAAGCCCGUGAGGGAAACCGCCGCUCAGGAGCUGCCCCCAUGACCUGCCAUUUUUACAAGGAGCUGGAUGCGAUACUUGGGUGUGACCCCACUGCCAAUCCGAGGACCACGAUGGAGAGUUCAGGGCAGGGAGAAGAGGGGGAGGGUGUAGAGGAAACCGAGAGUGAGGCUACUGGGGUGGAGGGAGACACCCUGGAGUCCCAGGAGGCAUGCAUCCAGGAGCGUUUCUCAAGCCAGGAGGAAGCUAGCCAGUUGCAGCAGCUGGAACUUGUUGGUGAAGAAGAAGCAGAGGAGCGGGUUCCCGGUAAGCAGCUUUUAUUUUAAGGAUGGAAAUGUUUUGGGAGAGGAGUGGGGGGGUUAUGGCUGCAUGCAUACAUGUCUAGAUGUGGAAUAGCCCAUUGAUUUGGUCUAUCACGUCUCGGUCAUCGGCCUCGGUAAUCUCUUCAAAAGUUUCAGCCAGAGCGUGGGCAAUGCGCUUGCGCAAGUUUAUAGGGAGAGCCACCGUGGUCCUUGUCCCAGUCAGGCUAACGCGUCCCUGCCACUGUGCCGUGAGGGGUGGGGGGACCAUUGCUGCACACAGGCAAGCUGCAUAGGGACCAGGGCGGAAUCCACAUUGCUGUAGAAGACCCUCCUGCUCUUCCCAGGUAACCCGCAGCAGCGAUAUAUCUGGCAGUAGAAAAUCCUGUUGAAAAUGUAGGGAUAGUGUUCAGUGCAGGUCCCCCCCCAGCUGCUCUCUGCUUUCCCCAAUGCACAGAAACCCCAGUGAGCCCUAACUCAAGCAGCUCCCCUUCCCAGUGUCCUUGAAUCCUCUGGCCCUAUCACAGCCUGCUGAAAGACUACAGAACUUGAGGCGGAAACCAAGGAAAAGCAAAGAAGAUUUGGUGAAAGCAGUUAUGAAUCAGUAUGCCAGAGAGAAUAAGAGGCUGCAGGACUAGAGAGUGAAAAUGCAUCAGUGGAGGGAAACACAAAGCAGGAGAAAGGAAUUGGCUACCAAGAAAAGCACAAAGCAGCUGAUGAGCCUCCUGGCACGCCAAACGGACUCGUAGCCAUGCAGGCAGAUCACUACCAUGCUAACCCCCCCAACUCCCAAAGCUCUCUCCCUUGUGCCCCAGUGUUUGCUCAAAACCCACUUCUCCAGCAUCCUGGUUCUUACCACCACCAGCUGCCCCCAACACCUGUACGUUCACCUACCAGCCCUGAGAACGACGACCCUUACCCUAUGCACUCAACCCCCAUCACCAUGCAGCAUAUUAAUCCUGAAGUGCAGCAGGCAUUGCACAGCAAUCCAGGCAGGACAUAUUCAAACCUCUGAAUGUACAGUUCAGCCCCCUGCCCUUUUAUGUACUGUAUUUUGAAUAAAUGAUUUCUUGGCUUUUAAAACAUUUUUUAUUAUUGCAGAAACUGAAAAAUACUGUACCACAAGGGAAAAACAGGCACUGCAAAUCAUUGUAACCACUGCCCUUUACUCCC